CCCGAAUCCCGGGUUUUCCCGCAGUACGAGGUCGCCACGGUGACGGAGAAGGGCGUGGAGCUGGAGGGACCCCUGACCCUGGAGGCCAACUGGGACAUCGCCCACGCCGUCAGAGGUUUCGAGUGAUCUCCAGGAGCUGCUCCGGCCUCAGCCCGUUUUUAUCCCAUCCCUUCUUCCCCUCUGGAAUGGCAAAAAUCUGGUGUUUUUUGGGAAUAAAAUCCAGUGUUUAAGACCA